AGAAAAUAGAUACCCGGGUAGUCCACGCCCUAAACGAUGCGAACUGGACGUUGGUUGCAACUUGGCAAAUCAGUGUCGAAAGCUAAACGCGUUAAGUUCGCCGCCUGGGGAGUACGGUCGCAAGACUGAAACUCAAAGGAAUUGACGGGGGCCCGCACAAGCGGUGGAGUAUGUGGUUUAAUUCGAUGCAACGCGCAGAACCUUACCUGGCCUUGACAUGUCGCGAACUUUCCAGAGAUGGAUUGGUGCCUUCGGGAACGCGAACACAGGUGCUGCAUGGCUGUCGUCAGCUCGUGUCGUGAGAUGUUGGGUUAAGUCCCGCAACGAGCGCAACCCUUGUCCUUAGUUGCCAGCACGUAAAGGUGGGAACUCUAAGGAGACUGCCGGUGAC
rnacentral:rRNA from 1 species